rnacentral:rRNA from 1 species
CGCGUAGGUGGUUUUUAAGUCGGAUGUGAAAUCCCCGGGCUUAACCUGGGAACUGCACCCGAUACUGGACGACUAGAGUGCGAGAGAGGGAGGUAGAAUUCCACGUGUAGCGGUGAAAUGCGUAGAUAUGUGGAGGAAUACCGGUGGCGAAGGCGGCCUCCUGGCUCGACACUGACGCUGAGGUGCGAAAGCGUGGGGAGCAAACA